AGAGAGAGACAUGCGCGCAUAUCAAUAAGCGGAGGAAAAGAAACUAACAAGGAUUCCCCUAGUAACGGCGAGUGAAGCGGGAAGAGCUCAAAUUUGAAAUCUUAAAGGGUUUCCCUUUACGAAUUGUAGUUUAAAGAAGUGUUUUCUGUUGAGGUUUUGGUAAAAGUUCUUUGGAAUAGGACAUCAUAGAGGGUGAGAAUCCCGUAUUUGACCUUUACUUUCAACUUUGUGAUACACUUUCAAAGAGUCGGAUUGUUUGGGAAUGCAGUCCAAAAUGGGUGGUAAAUUUCAUCUAAAGCUAAAUAUUGGCGAGAGACCGAUAGCGAACAAGUACCGUGAGGGAAAGAUGAAAAGAACUUUGAAAAGAGAGUUAAACAGUACGUGAAAUUGUCAAAAGGGAAGCGUUUGACACCAGUGUUGUUUUUCUGAAAAUCAAUUAAAGAACUGUUUAUGCUAAGUUGUUUAGACUUUAUCAGCUAACUGUUUAGUUUUGAGCUUUUCUUUAAUGCACUUUUCAGUUAACAAGUCAACAUCAAUUUCCUUUUGCUGUAAAAAAGCUUGAGGAAGGUGGCUUGAGAUUCGUCCUUAAGUGUUUAUAGCCUCUUGCCUAUGCAGUCGGAGAGAUUGAGGUCUGCAGCGUAGAUCCUUCGGGGCUAAAUGCAUUUGUGCUAAGUUAUAGCAUUUUAUAGACAACUUGUUGACUAUGAUUUGUCUUGUAGCUUACUCGCUUAUGUUAUUUUACCUACGCUUAGGAUGUUGACGCAUGAGAUAUACGC
rnacentral:rRNA from 1 species